rnacentral:tRNA from 1 species
GCCCGUAGCUCAGUGGUAGAGCGCGCAAAACAUCACCUCACUUUCGUCGCAGCGUUUUUCUUCCGAGCGAAUGCCGACAGGACUCCAGGUAGAGCAUCCAGCCUUCGGGCUGGAAGGUCCCAGGUUCAAAUCCCGGACGGCGGGCA